rnacentral:rRNA from 1 species
UACGUAGGGCGCAAGCGUUGUCCGGAAUUAUUGGGCGUAAAGAGCUCGUAGGCGGCUUGUCACGUCGGGUGUGAAAGCCCGGGGCUUAACCCCGGGUCUGCAUUCGAUACGGGCUAGCUAGAGUGUGGUAGGGGAGAUCGGAAUUCCUGGUGUAGCGGUGAAAUGCGCAGAUAUCAGGAGGAACACCGGUGGCGAAGGCGGCGAUCUGGGAAGAUACUGACGCUGAGGUGCGAAAGCGUGGGGAGCAAACAGG